rnacentral:rRNA from 1 species
UAGGGAAUCUUCGGCAAUGGACGAAAGUCUGACCGAGCAACGCCGCGAGAGUGAAGAAGGUUUUCGGAUCGUAAAACUCUGUUGGUAGAGAAGAACGUUGGUGAGAGUGGAAAGCUCAUCAAGUGACGGUAACUACCCAGAAAGGGACGGCUAACUACGUGCCAC